AUUGAACGCUGGCGGCAGGCCUAACGCAUGCAAGUCGAGCGGAUGAGUGGAGCUUGCUCCAUGAUUCAGCGGCGGACGGGUGAGUAAUGCCUAGGAAUCUGCCUGGUAGUGGGGGACAACGUUUCGAAAGGAACGCUAAUACCGCAUACGUCCUACGGGAGAAAGUGGGGGAUCUUCGGACCUCACGCUAUCAGAUGAGCCUAGGUCGGAUUAGCUAGUUGGUGAGGUAAAGGCUCACCAAGGCGACGAUCCGUAACUGGUCUGAGAGGAUGAUCAGUCACACUGGGACUGGGACACGGUCCAGACUCCUACGGGAGGCAGCAGUGGGGAAUAUUGGACAAUGGGCGAAAGCCUGAUCCAGCCAUGCCGCGUGUGUGAAGAAGGUCUUCGGAUUGUAAAGCACUUUAAGUUGGGAGGAAGGGCAGUAAGUUAAUACCUUGCUGUUUUGACGUUACCAACCGAAUAAGCACCGGCUAACUUCGUGC
rnacentral:rRNA from 1 species